ensembl:lncRNA
CUUUCCACUCAGAGAGAGGAGCAUCUUUGCCAGGAGCCCCAAAAGGCAAACCUAAGGAACUGUGUAGGCAUGAUCACAGCAAGGGCUUGGGUCUGCAUCUACAUGAGGUGUGAAGGUUAAAGGCAGUCACUCAGCUUUCUACCUAAUGACAGAAAGUGCUACGUUCCUGAAUGUUCCUUGAGGAGAGACAUCAAGACAAACCCACUGACAUGAAGCAGGCCUUCCCCUGUCCAUGGGGCUUUUGCUGCAUGUGCCACAAGGAGACAGAGGCCCAGGGCUAAACCACCGUGUAAAAGCAUCGUUUAUCCCAUGAGGGAAGAUACAGAAGACCCUCAUCUGUCAGUUGGCUGUGUGCAAGGAGAUGCAUGUGAUAAAUCAAUCUGAGAGGAAGCGUGACUCCCCAGAGCAGGGACACUGCUAAAGAGGAUAUGGGCCCGCAGGCCGUCAUGCAAGGAAGGAUAUCAGUGCGGCCUCAGUCAAGAGAGAAAGCCAGACCACCACACUCAGGCUUGGCUGUAAGUACCCAGGCAUUCAGAAGAGUUGAACUCGGUGUUCUGGGCUUGAGUUUUGGUGGCACCUGCUUCCAACUGGCUUAUCGAGCUCGCAAAUUCACUGCAGUCCCUUAACGCAAAGGCACUUGGUAAGCUUUCCCUUACUCCUUGGGCUGAAAGGUGAAGUUGAACCUAGAGGGCUCAUGAGUGCUCUACCACAUUUUCGAGGUGCAAAGCCAAGCACAUGCAGAGAGGGAUUUGCCAUGGUACAUGUAAAGAUACGGGAAGCGAUGGGAGUACUCAUUUUGGGGCCAGGAAUGUGCUUUUGGUGCUAUAGCCAGGUCUGCUGCAAAAUUUCAGCUUGACAGCAAUGCCCAGGAUGCUAAGUGUGCCCUACUGAGAGAUCCUUCGCCCUGAGACGGGCACCAGCUGAUACAUAAAUUGACAUUUCCCCCCAGCUUUCCGAAGAGGCUUACAGCAGGUUCUCUAAUUGCACAAGUGUUUAGCACGUCCUGACUAAAUUUCUCCAGGCGCUGCUAAUGAAAGUGAAUCUACUGGGAUGACGAAUGGCUUCCUCUUCUCACCCACAGCUGCUGCAACUGUUUCUCGUGCCCCAGUGCUGCCUUGCUGACUCUUGGAUGCUGCCUGUGCAUGGCCAGGCACUGUGCAUGGGCAUACCCUGCCUGCUUGGUGUGGGUUAUCAGUGGUCAGUUCCCAUGUCAGCUAAUAGCUCUGGUGGAAGAGGACUGAUCUGUGAGUCUCUUGUUGUCCUCCUGUCCAUGCUGGGUGGGGAGACUGAAUAAAACACAUCGGAUGCUGCAGGAAGAUGCAAGAUUUGAAUAAAUUCCCCUUCCUUCUCCGUAAUCAAAACGUUUCUCCCCCGAGAACGCCUUGAUUAAUCGAUCUCACAACUGACAAAUCGAGGAUGGGAAUUCAAAAUCCAAUUGAAACGGAGGAAAACAACAUUAUGCACCAUCUGAUGCAGUCAGCGAUGUCACAGAAUGAAAUGACUGCAGAAAAACAGGGCCUUGUGCUGGAGGAGCCAUCAUUAAAAUGUGGCGAGGGUAUUAUUAAGUAAAAGAACAUUGAUUUUGUUUGAAGGAUUUGGCCGUCCAUAUUAAAUAUCAUCUCGGUAAUGUGAUCUCAGUAGUUGCUUGAAAUGUCAGCCUCACUUGGCUACAUCUGUUUGCUGGGGCUGCUGCUGGAAAAUGGAAAUGAAAAUUUCGUUCUUUAUCAGCCAUUGGUCUGCAUUAGCAACUUGAUAGGCUUCACCCAUACGGGGCUGAAUUAGCAUAGGAGCUCACUACAGGGAAUAUAGGUAUGCCAGGAACGCUGGUGUAUAUCAAACAUGCGUGACAGUAACAAGAUGAGUAAUUUAUGCAGGCAGAAGCAGCCACCAUAGCGGGAUAUUUCAAAGCCAGGAACCUCUGUAAGCUCUGGACUUUCAUGUGAUGUGCACUAUGGAUCCAACACCGGUCCAGGUCCCCUGCUGCAUGAGUACACGCCGUGCUGCUGGCUUCAGCUCCAUGUUCCUGCUUUGGGAGAGCAGGGAGCAUCUCUGCACCCACGGACACUGCUUCUGUCAGGUACCCAAAUACCAGUGUCCUUUGUAGUGAGGGAGGUAGAAAUGUGUCUGUGUUCUAUGAGAGUCCUGCUGAAGGCAGCCCUUGGCUGGGGCAGCCUACAAAGCCACUUGUCACUGCUGGGGACGUCUGUCUGUGUCUCUGGGAGAGGUGCUCAGCACUGCCACCAGCUCAACCUGCCAAGAGGAAAGCAGCAGCCGUGUCCCAGCCUGGGCAGGGGUUGGGACUGGGUGGGCUAUCAGAUCCCUACCAACCCAAGCCAUCCUAUGAUAUUUUCUAUGGAAAAAAAAAAGAAAGAAAGAAAAAAAAAAAAGGAAUAGGAGAAGAAAAUGGAAAGAGGAUACUUUUGUGUUUGUUGGGUGAGUCUGGUAGCCACAGAGCACAAAGGGGAAAAUAUAUGUGGGCAGCAAAACACAGAAGAUUUUGUGUGAUGCCAGCAAUUUUUCUUUCCUUUUCUGAGAAAGGAGCUGUGUGGACGUGAGGUGUGAGAUCUUGCUCUUUCAAAUGGCUGAGUCAAACACCAGCUCAAUUAGAGAGAGCAGUGCAGGAACAUGAAGGACACAGGAUGACCGUGUUUUGUCGUUCCUCCUGGAAACUCAACACGUGUAGCGAGCAGGAAGGAGGGAAAAGGCUCUGAUCGGAUUCAGACAGGAUUUGGAUAGCAGUUUUCAAAUGAAAUUUAAAGGUCAUUUUUAAACCCAAAUGCAGAGUGCUGCUCCAAGCAUGAGCAGACUGGCAAACAAUCUGCAUUUUUCCACUUAAUAUUACUUCUAGGGAUGUGUUUACCACAUAGGCAGGCAAAGCAACCUCAGGGAAAAAAAAUAAAAAAGGAAAAAGAAUUACAGAUGUUAUGCUGGGUACAUUGUCGAAAUACAUACCCACGGAGCAACAGCUGGAAGUUACAGAUGUUCUUAACCUAAGGAUUUUCUUCUCUAUUACUGACCACUGAUACUGAUUUUUUUUUGCACGUGAGCAGUAGUCCACGUGGCAAAAGCCAAAUGUGGAGGAGGAUACUAAAAAGUGGUUGUUGGCCACAAUGGCUGUUUUCCUUAGGGCUCUGGCGACCACUGGAGACGGAUCACUAGCAUCCCUAUCCGAGUGCUGCAAUAUGGGGUUGGUUUGGGGUUUUGCUGCCCUUGCAUUCACUCUCCCUUGCAAGCUUCCCCACAUGCUGCCCUUCCUUCCAAGCAGCACGGGGGGGAAAGACGCCGCCACCCUACACACUCCCCUUUGAGGC